UACGGAGGGGGCUAGCGUUGUUCGGAAUUACUGGGCGUAAAGCGCACGUAGGCGGCGAUUUAAGUCAGAGGUGAAAGCCCGGGGCUCAACCCCGGAAUAGCCUUUGAGACUGGAUUGCUUGAACAUCGGAGAGGUGAGUGGAAUUCCGAGUGUAGAGGUGAAAUUCGUAGAUAUUAGGAAGAACACCAGUGGCGAAGGCGGCUCACUGGUCCGGUACUGACGCUGAGGUGCGAAAGCGUGGGGAGCAAACAGG
rnacentral:rRNA from 1 species